rnacentral:rRNA from 1 species
UACGUAGGGUGCGGGCGUUAAUCGGAAUUACUGGGCGUAAAGGGCGCGUAGGCGGCCCGCUAAGUCGAACGUGAAAUCCCCAGGCUCAACCUGGGAACUGCGUCCGAUACUGGCAGGCUUGAAUCCGGGAGAGGGAUGUGGAAUUCCAGGUGUAGCGGUGAAAUGCGUAGAUAUCUGGAGGAACACCGGUGGCGAAGGCGGCAUCCUGGACCGGCAUUGACGCUGAGGCGCGAAAGCUAGGGGAGCAAACGGG